CAAAACUUGUAAAACAUGAUCCCUAUUAUAGGGAUUUCGACCAAGUUGUACAAGUUGGUUAUUAGAACAUAAUAAUAAUCUACUCCUAAUUUGUAGAUCACUGCAGUGUGCUGAAAAUCUCUCCAUGAAAUCAUUGUAUUAAAAUGUCAUCGUUUUUCAUUUCAGAACAAGAAGCAAACAGCACAUACUUACUGAAUGGCUAUAUUUCGUCGCGGUUUUUCCCGGAUAGCAGUUACUUUUCCCCAUCGGACUAGAAAGUUCUUCAAUAAUAUAUUUCAGCUGCGUCUUGUCUUUCUUGGAGACUGCGAAACAGAAUUGAUAUAAUUAC